AAAUGGACCUAUCAAAUGGACCUAUCAUGAACCGGCAGCCAAUCUCGGUGGUUUGCAAAACUAUACCCAAUUGACUGAAGUUUACAACAAAUACAAAAAAAAAGAUUCUAAACUAGUGUCUAAUUUGAGCAAGAUGAGACAUCUGGAUCUAAGUUAUAAUAAUUUUGACGAGGAUGCCUUCAGGAUUUUGGGUGCUCUCCAUCCC